rnacentral:rRNA from 1 species
UACGUAGGGUGCAAGCGUUGUCCGGAAUUAUUGGGCGUAAAGAGCUCGUAGGCGGUCUGUCGCGUCUGCUGUGAAAACUCGGGGCUUAACCCCGAGCCUGCAGUGGAUACGGGCAGACUAGAGGUAGGUAGGGGAGAAUGGAAUUCCCGGUGUAGCGGUGAAAUGCGCAGAUAUCAGGAGGAACACCGGUGGCGAAGGCGGGUCUCUGGGCAACAACUGACGCUGAGGAGCGAAAGCGUGGGGAGCGAACAGG